GACUUCAUAACUCAGUUGGUUAGAGAACUGCAUCGGAAUUGCAGGGCCACAAGUUCGAGUCCUGCUAGGGGGUCU